rnacentral:rRNA from 1 species
AGCCUGCGGUUUAAUUGGAUUCAACGCCGGGAAGCUUACCGGGGGAGACAGCUGGAUGAAGGUCGGGCUGAAGACCCUACCAGAUUAGCUGAGAGGUGGUGCAUGGCCGCCGUCAGUUCGUACUGUGAAGCAUCCUGUUAAGUCAGGCAACGAGCGAGACCCGCGCCCCCAGUUGCCAGCGGGUCCCUUCGGGGAUGCCGGGCACACUGGGGGGACUGCCGGCGCUAAGCCGGAGGAAGGUGCGGGCAACGGCAGGUCCGUAUGCCCCGAAUCCCCCGGGCUACACGCGGGCUACAAUGGCCGGGACAAUGGGUACCGACCCCGAAAGGGGGAGGUAAUCCCCUAAACCCGGCCGUACCUGGGAUCGAGGGCUGCAACUCGCCCUCGUGAACCUGGAAUCCGUAGUAAUCGCGCCUCAAAAUGGCGCGGUGAAUACGUCCCUGCUCCUUGCACACACCGCCCGUCACGCCACCCAAGUGGGCCAGGGGCGAGGCCCGCUCCUAAGGGGCGGGUCGAGCCCAGGGUCCGCGAGGGGGGCGAAGUCGUAACAAGGUAGCCGUAGGGGAAUCUGCGGCUG